UCCCUAUUUAAUCAAAAAUUAUAAAAAUAAAAUAAAUCCACAACCCUCUCCAUCUGCUUCUUCUCCAAAAUCAAAACCACUCUAUCCAACUAUCACAGCCAUCGUGGGCAGCCACCAUUACCCAUCUAACACUGACAUCACCAUUAAAUCUCAAUAAUGGUAUCUUUGCAACCUCUCACGAACCCCAAAAACCUCAAACCGACAUCACCAUUAAAGCUCAGUAAUGAUAUCGACUCUCAAUCCCAACGCAAAAUCCAAUCGAAAAAUCCCUUCUUCUUCACAUUCACAAACCAUUCUCAGCUUCACCUCCUUUGUACUUGACGACGAUGAUUUUCAAGGUUACCCUUUUCCCUUCGCCUCUAUAACUAACUCAUAGGUGCCACCUCUCAAACCCCAUUGCUCAACCACCACUAAUCCAUUGAAAAAGCCCAAAAGACAAAAUCCCGAAAAGGAAAAUCGAAUGGAGGUAGAUUUGGUUUUGUGGGUAGGAUUCAAUUGAACCCACCCUUGAUUUGUUAAAGUUGAAUGGGAGUGGCGAGUGUUUCUAGAAUAGUAAGUUAAUGGAGUCAAAGUUGUUGAAAUUGUAGCCAAAUUUAAUGUCUGAUGCUUGAGAUGAUUAUGAUAAUAUUAAUGAAGCUGUUAGGAAAAUCGGGAUUGAAGAGGAGGAAAGAUUUGAAGAGGAAGAGAUUUUAGAGGAGGUAAGCACUCCAUUCGACGUAUUGCUCAAGUUGUGCGCAGAUGGAGAUAAGCUCGAGCGUGACUUUAGGAUGGUUGAGGUUUUGGGGUUCGUGAAAGGUUGUUGAGAUACCCAUUAUUGAGCUUUAAUGGAGAUGCCAUUGUUGAGUGGGUAGUAGUGGCUGUCGUGAUGCCUGUGGCGGUUGCGUAGAGUGGUUUUGAUUUUGGGGAGAAGAAGAUGGGGAUGGGUUGUGAAUUUAUCUUUUGUUUUUGUUUUUUAAUUUAAUAGGGAAAAUAUAUUUUAUCUAAAAUGCU
rnacentral:lncRNA from 1 species